UACAGUGUGGCAUAGUGGUUUGAGUGUUGGACUACAACUCUGGAGACCAGGCUUCGAUUCCAUGCUCUGCCA